CCCCCGCUAGUUUAAUGGAUAAAACACGGCUCUCCUAAAGCUGGGCUCCUAGUUCGAUUCUAGGGCGGGGGG
rnacentral:tRNA from 1 species